rnacentral:rRNA from 1 species
AUGAGCCUGUCGCCGGCGCCGGAGGAGAGCUACGCGAGGCUCGGCAUCGGCUUCGGCUUCGGCCGGAGGUGGCGGCCGGCGAGGGGGUUCCGGCUCGGCGCGAGGAACCGGUUCUCGGUGCGGCGGCUGCGGGCCAAGCUGCUCACGUUCCUGGGCCUCGUCGGCCGCCAGGCGCGCCACCUCGCCAGGAGGCUCUCCAGGAGAGGCGGCGGCUCCUGCCCGCGGAACGGCAGCGCGAGGACGCUCGUGGGCGGCAACGGGUCGCAGCGGUGGUGCCCCCCGGGCGGCGAGGCGGCGGCCAGCAAGCACAAGCAGCAGCAGCAGCAGGCGCCGAGGAGGGCGGCGUCGUUCAUGCGGACCAACUCCUUCUACGCGCAGGCCAUCGCCGAGUGCCUCGAGUUCAUCAAGCGCAAUUCCGUGCCGGUCGAGGACUACGGCAGCGCCGUGGUCGCCCGCGGCGGCGGCACCGCCGGGAGAUAG